rfam:Synechococcus sp. PCC 7002, complete genome.
GGAGAGGUGGCAGAGUGGUUGAAUGCGGCGGUCUCGAAAACCGUUACUGGGGCAACUCAGUCGGGGGUUCGAAUCCCCCCCUCUCCG